CAGCAUUAGAUCCUUGAAGCUGAAAUUACCAUUGGUAGUGAACCACUUAAUGUAGGUACUGGGAACUGAACUCCAUUGUCUGGAAGAGCAAUGUACACUCUUAGCUCCUGAGCCAUCUCUCCUGCCCCAAACACAGAGUCUUGGAUGCCUUUGUCCAGUUUACCUAGCAGUAUCCUCUUCCAUAACCAUAGUACAGAUCAGAAUCAACAAAUAGAAGUUGGAUAGGGUGUUGUCUCUAGUCCUAGCUGCUGGGUUGGCUGAGGCCGGAAGUCUAUGCCCAGAAAUUAGAGGCCAGCACAAUGAGUCAGGAUUUCAUCUCAAGAAAAGAUGUAGAGCAAAUGAUAGGCACCUGCUGCCAAGCCAGAAUUCAGACCUGAUUCAUCCCUGGAAUCCACAUGGUAGAAGGAAAAGACCUGAAUGCUACUCUCUGUUCUCCACACUUGAACCUUGGAACACCCUCAAAUAAAUAAAUAAAAAGUGAAAAUUGAGAA
rnacentral:lncRNA from 1 species